rnacentral:lncRNA from 1 species
CCGAUCUUCUCUGUCUUAUAUUUUAAAUUUUGAUACAGAGAGUGAUGCUCCGUGCCAGCUGCUGAGUCUUGAGCGAGGCCCUGGAUGCCACACGUGUCUUCAGACCCUCACGCACUCUUGCCUCUGCCUUGGAUGCACCGCUUUGCCCACGUCUCCUCCUCACGCACACCUGGGCAGCACCUGGACAGUCUCUCAGGCCCUGGUCAGAGAAAGCACGUGUCCUCUGUUCCCUCGGUGCGCUUGUCACCCGUUUCCUUUACUCCCUGAUCAUUGUGGACACAUAGCACCGAUACUCUAGCAGAUGUUUUCCAGAGGUUUGGGGUGCACCUGCACCACAGGACACCUGGACCUUGCCUGCAGCAUGGGGGCCUGGGGAACAUCUCUGCCACUUUGCACUGAGGGCUGGGGUGGGUCUGCUGCCUGCCCUGCUGGUUAGAAGCCCUGCAAGACAAGGAGGAGCUGGGACCCUCCGAGGAGUAGUGGAGCGUCACCACUACUGGCACUAGCACCAUGAUGUGACCUUUGAACUGGGCACCUUGAAACAUUGGUGGCUGGGGAGAGGGUAUCUGCCCAGGACUGCCAGAUGCACAGUUCAAGCAGAGGGUUUUUGGAAAAGGAAGGGUGUCACCCAGCAGGGCAGCGUCACACAGAGUGGGCACAGGGUUGGGGGUGCAGCCGCAGGGAGCGGGCCUUGGGCUUGCCCUCUGAAGCCACCUUGGUGGGAUCCCUGGAUGGUGACCUACUGGGUGGUUACUAGGAGUAUUCUCCACCUGCUGUGCUGGGUGGGGGGGCUGCUGCGUAAAGGAAGUCAUGCUCGUAGAGCAGUUAGCCUUGUCGUGGGCUGACACUCAUUGUAACACCUGCACUCAGCCUGGGGUCCCAGACCCUGGUUGUACGUGGAAGAGGAGGGAGGGAGACGAGAGUGUGCCUUGGGUGCUCGCUCAGCCUCUGAGGAAUCGCUGUCCUGCUUCCUUCUCCAGAUCUGCCUCCAGAGUGGAGGGCUGGGAAGCCCACUGGGGAACCCCUUCUUCCUGUCCUGGCGGUGGCCUGAGAACUGGGACUGCGCUGGCCCUGGAGGGGACGCUGGUGUAUCAUCGACAUGGAAUUGCGCAGAGCCCGCAGAGACCCCGGGCUUUCAGGGCGGUUUCUGAGGUGCACCUGAAUCCAGCCUCGGCUGAGGCAGUGGCCGGCCUGCUGCCUAUGGGGCGUGACCACCUGCGAGAGAAAACACUGCUGGUAAAGAGGACCAGUGGGACUCCGCGAUCAGCUGGACAUGUUGAUGCUCGAGACAGGUGGCUGGGUGCUCCUCGGGGCAGGGGAGGGGGGAACGGGUGUCAUCGUGCUCAAAGUCAGAGUGGUAACUAAAAGUAUUUAAUGUGUUGAGAGCACCACCCACGCAAAAAAAAAAAAAAAAACCCAAAAAACAAAAACAACAACA